UUUUAGAAAGUUGGGACUACACAUUUUGCUUGACGGCUCAUUUUAAACACUAGUACAAGAAUGUAACGAAAUAUCGAAAAUAUAAAAAAACUUUCAACAACGGAUCUCUUGGCUCUCGCAUCGAUGAAGAACGCAGCGAAAUGUGAUAAGUAAUGUGAAUUGCAGAAUUCAGUGAAUCAUCGAAUCUUUGAACGCACCUUGCGCUCCCUAGUAUUCUGGGGAGCAUGUCUGUUUGAGUGUCAUGAACUCUUCAACUCUAUCGUUUCUUGUUAAGCGAUUAGAAGUUUGGAUUUUGAAUGUUGCUAGUCCUUUUACGGGACUUUAGCUCGUUCGUAAUACAUUAGCCUUUCUAAUUCCGAACUUCGGAUUGACUCAGUGUAAUAGACUAUUCGCUGAGGACACUAGUAAUAGUGGCCGAUAUUCAACAUAAGAAAAGCUUCAAACCUUUGUAGUCAAUUUUAGAUUAGACCUCAGAUCAGGCAGGAUUACCCGCUGAACUUAA
rnacentral:rRNA from 1 species